rnacentral:lncRNA from 1 species
AGAAAAGAACAAAUUCCCGAGCCAACCGGAGCCGAACCCAAAAUUCCCACUUAAUCAAAGACCCCCGGAUAAUGUGCAUUCGGUCAUUUCUCUUAGGUCGGGUAAACAAGUAGAGACCCACGUUGGUGAGAACCUUGGUAAGAAAGGGGAUUCGACUUCUAAUCCAAGUCCACCCUUCACUACCAUUAAUCAUGACAAACCCGAGAGUUCAAAAGCCCGUGAGGAGUCGAGUGACCCAAACCCGGAACCCGAGUUGCAAAGUGAAGUAGUCUAUAAA